UACGGAGGGUGCUAGCGUUGCUCGGAAUCACUGGGCGUAAAGGGUGCGUAGGCGGGUCUUUAAGUCAGGGGUGAAAUCCUGGAGCUCAACUCCAGAACUGCCUUUGAUACUGAAGAUCUUGAGUUCGGGAGAGGUGAGUGGAACUGCGAGUGUAGAGGUGAAAUUCGUAGAUAUUCGCAAGAACACCAGUGGCGAAGGCGGCUCACUGGCCCGAUACUGACGCUGAGGCACGAAAGCGUGGGGAGCAAACAGG
rnacentral:rRNA from 1 species